rfam:Erysipelothrix rhusiopathiae str. Fujisawa DNA, complete genome.
GCAGGUGUAGUUCAAUGGUAGAACACGACCUUGCCAAGGUUGAGGCGGGGGUUCAAUUCCCCUCACCUGCU